CCUACGGGCGGCUGCAGUGGGGAAUAUUGGACAAUGGGGGCAACCCUGAUCCAGCCAUGCCGCGUGUGUGAAGAAGGCCCUCGGGUUGUAAAGCACUUUCAGUGAGGAAGAACGCCUGGUGGUUAAUACCCAUCAGGAAAGACAUCACUCACAGAAGAAGCACCGGCUAACUCCGUGCCAGCAGCCGCGGUAAUACGGAGGGUGCGAGCGUUAAUCGGAAUUACUGGGCGUAAAGCGCGCGUAGGUGGCUUGAUAAGCCGGUUGUGAAAGCCCCGGGCUCAACCUGGGAACGGCAUCCGGAACUGUCAAGCUAGAGUGCAGGAGAGGAAGGUAGAAUUCCCGGUGUAGCGGUGAAAUGCGCAGAGAUCGGGAGGAAUACCAGUGGCGAAGGCGGCCUUCUGGACUGACACUGACACUGAGGUGCGAAAGCGUGGGUAGCAAACAGGAUUAGAUACCCCAGUAGUC
rnacentral:rRNA from 1 species